rnacentral:rRNA from 1 species
CGAACGCUGGCGGCAGGCCUAAUACAUGCAAGUCGAACGGCUCUUCGGAGCAGUGGCGGACGGGUGAGUAACGCGUGGGAAUGUGCCCUUUGGUACGGAACAACACAGGGAAACUUGUGCUAAUACCGUAUGUGCCCUUCGGGGGAAAGAUUUAUCGCCAUUGGAGCAGCCCGCGUUGGAGUAGGUAGUUGGUGAGGUAAAGGCUCACCAAGCCGACGAUCCAUAGCUGGUCUGAGAGGAUGAUAAGCCCCACUGGGACUGAGACACGGCCCAGACUCCUACGGGAGGCAGCAGUAGGGAAUCUUGCGCAAUGGGCGAAAGCCUGACGCAGCCAUGCCGCGUGUAUGAUGAAGGUCUUAGGAUUGUAAAAUACUUUCACCGGGGAAGAUAAUGACGGUACCCGGAGAAGAAGCCCCGGCUAACUUCGUGCCAGCAGCCGCUGUAAAAC